rnacentral:rRNA from 1 species
AAGACCUUGCGCUUUUGGAGCGGCCGAUGUCUGAUUAGCUUGUUGGUGAGGUAAAAGCUUACCAAGGCUUCGAUCAGUAGCUGGUCUGAGAGGACGGCCAGCCACACUGGGACUGAGACACGGCCCAGACUCCUACGGGAGGCAGCAGUGGGGAAUUUUGGACAAUGGGGGCAACCCUGAUCCAGCCAUGCCGCGUGAGUGAAGAAGGCCUUCGGGUUGUAAAGCUCUUUCAGCCGGAACGAAACGGUUACGGUUAAUACCCGUGACUACUGACGGUACCGGAAGAAGAAGCACCGGCUAACUACGUGCCAGCAGCCGCGGUAAUACGUAGGGUGCAAGCGUUAAUCGGAAUUACUGGGCGUAAAGCGUGCGCAGGUGGUUUUGUAAGUCAGAUGUGAAAUCCCCGGGCUUAACCCGGGAACU